rnacentral:lncRNA from 1 species
GGCUGAGCCAUCACCCAGCACCAGGUUCCGGUGAGGACCAUAGCAACUCCUGUCCGCACUUUGCAUACUUACAUUAGUUUCCUGAAGAAUUCUCCCAUUGUGCCUUGCCCGACAUCUGAGAGCAGUGAGUGGUCUGCCUGGCAUUGAAAAGGAAAAAGUUUCUGGAAGACCCACCUGGGGCUAGAAGCCUUGAAGUUGCUGCCCUGUUCUCUAGCCACUUGGGAGGACAAGUGUCAUCGCAAUCCCUAAGGGAGGACAGAAGUCAUUCACGGCACUCUACAGAAGCCAGAAGAUGUGCUUAUAGGCGGUGUUGGGUGUUGUCUUGAGCCCACAGUGGGCCUAAGCUGUACUGGGGAUGUUCGAUGAAAGCAGAGAGAGAAAUAAAAGAUCAUGCAGGAACUUCCAUGAGGAUAGGAAGACAAGAAAGGUCAACACACAGCACGGCCAACAAGCAAGACAGUCUAAGAAUGAACAUGGUGACUUAAAAGAUGACAUGGGGGCUGCAGGGAGGGAGAAACAAACGGGGAGGGAAGCACAAGUCUUGUGAGUGUCUUUUUGGAGAGACAGGACUGAGAUGGGUCUCCAAGAUAAAUUUAGUUUUGGAUCAGGACAGGAAAAGAGAGAAAGGCCCUGAUCUGAGGGUAAGGACGAGAUGCACAAAGAGCAGCACAUUCUGUAACAUGUCAGUAGUGAGUAGAGCUUGCUCUGAAAUGAUCCUGCAUAAUAUUAAAAUCACCCUUGAUAAAAGAUGUGCAGCCAGUCUGGAAACGCCAACAGUGAUUGAGCAUAUAGGUGAUGGGGUUUGCAUGUUUGUUAAUUUAUCUGUUGUUUUUCUUUUUUAUCUUUCCACUAUGAAUAUGUAGUACUUGUGCAUUUAAAAAAUGUUAUAAAUCUGCAAGUUAACAAAUCUAAUGCAUUUCCCUUCAAUCUCAUCAUCCCAAGACUAGACCUUUUUCGGACAGUGGCUUGAAGACAGACAGGCUCUCCUAAGAGAUGGAAGCCCAGGGUGUUCAGCCCCCACUGUCUAAGGCCCCCCAACUCCAGGAGCCCCAUAUGUUCCUACCAGACCAUAGGCUUAACUGGAUGUAGGCCAGGGGUGGGGGAAUGUGCUCUGCUUGGCAUUGUAAGGUGCCAGGCGCACCUGAGCAGCUGGACAGGUGUGACAGAUGCCCUGGAUUGCAUGGAGCUGGCUGUGCCUGUGCACACACACCCGUCUGCACCCCGUCCUCCCCUCCCUACACCUCCCUGUCUUCCCGGCUAGCUCAGGUGUGGUGCAUCUGUGGCCCAUUGGCAGCUCUCUUGCCCGCAGUGCACAGGGAGCUGUCAGGUUAAAAGCUGGCUUGCUCGAUUUGAUCCCACAUGCGAGCUGUUUUAUUUCCCUCUCUCUCCCUUACACGGCUUCGGUGUGCUUUUAUAAAUAUUUCACUAGCCUUGCUAAAGUCUAUUUCAUCUCUCUCUUAAAUUUAUUAAAUAUAAAUGCAGCAACAACUCUACCAUAAGUCUCUCUUUGCUGUCAAAAUCUCAGGCUCCCAUGGAAGUAAAUAUAAUUUGCUUUGUUUACCGUAGGUAACUUGGAGCCCUAUCUGCUAUCUCAACACCCCCUAAGCACCCCCAAAUCUCCCUGUUUUUGUUAGCAGGGGUCUGUCUCAUCCCAAUGUAGUGCACGGGGACACGGGUCACGCUUUGAAGAGGGCGUGACAAAGGGGCUGUUCUCCGACACUCGCAUGGCAGGGAAUUUCUUGGUCCGCUGGUCCCUCAAUGACACAAUCAAUGAGUAAAGGGGGAUACCUUUACUCAUCACCUCAGACCUGAGCACGCCCUGGGCCCCAUUUGGGCAGAGCUUUGCUCUUUGCUUUUCUUUUAAAGUAAAGGGCCCAUCUGCUGCAGCUAGUGACCUGGCCAAAAAAGACACAGACUGCUGUGAAAUGAUUGAGGGCAGUGACUCCCCUCCCACCCCAGGAGCCAGAGCCGACAGAGCCAAGAGCAAGGCAGGAAUUCAGGUCCCCAAAAGCAAGCCAGAAGCACCACCUCCAAGCGCCCUGCCACUUCCUUUGUUCUUUGUUAAUUGCAAAAUAAACACAACCCUGCCCACCGACUGUGGAGAAAGAUUUCUGCCAACUGGGGGACCCGGCAGGUAGUGGGCAGGCAUUUGCCCUCCAUCAACCACAUGUGAUUUCCUGGAGGAGAAGGGGCAGUAGAGAAGGGGCAGAGUGGCAGGGCUGGGAUGGACCUAGCUUAGGGCUUGUA